UACAAUGGAGAGUUUGAUCCUGGCUCAGGAUGAACGCUAGCGGCAGGCUUAACACAUGCAAGUCGAGGGGUAACAGGGAAAAGCUUGCUUUUCCGCUGACGACCGGCGCACGGGUGCGUAACACGUAUGCAACCUACCUCUUACUGAAGGAUAGCCCAGAGAAAUUUGGAUUAAUACUUCAUAACACCACAAGACCGCAUGGUCUAAUGGUUAAAGGUUACGGUAAGAGAUGGGCAUGCGGCCUAUUAGUUUGUUGGUGAGGUAAUGGCUCACCAAGACUACGAUAGGUAGGGGGUCUGAGAGGAUUAUCCCCCACACUGGUACUGAGACACGGACCAGACUCCUACGGGAGGCAGCAGUGAGGAAUAUUGCGCAAUGGACGAAAGUCUGACGCAGCCAUGCCGCGUGAAGGAUGACGGCGCUACGCGUUGUAAACUUCUUUUAUAUACCAAGAAACCUUCGGACGUGUCCGAAGCUGACGGUAGUAUAUGAAUAAGCACCGGCUAACUCCGUGCCAGCAGCCGCGGUAAUACGGAGGGUGCAAGCGUUAUCCGGAUUUAUUGGGUUUAAAGGGUCCGUAGGCGGAUCAUUAAGUCAGUGGUGAAAGCCGACAGCUCAACUGUCGAACUGCCAUUGAUACUGGUGAUCUUGAGUACGGUUGAAGUAGGCGGAAUAUGACAUGUAGCGGUGAAAUGCUUAGAUAUGUCAUAGAACACCGAUUGCGAAGGCAGCCUACUAAGCCGUUACUGACGCUGAGGGACGAAAGUGUGGGGAGCGAACAGGAUUAGAUACCCUGGUAGUCCACACCGUAAACGAUGAUUACUCGGUAUUGGCUUUAUUGUCAGUGCCCAAGCGAAAGUGAUAAGUAAUCCACCUGGGGAGUACGGCCGCAAGGUUGAAACUCAAAGGAAUUGACGGGGGCCCGCACAAGCGGUGGAGCAUGUGGUUUAAUUCGAUGAUACGCGAGGAACCUUACCAGGGCUUAAAUGUAGAACGACCGGGGUGGAAACACCCCCUUUUUCGAACGGUCUACAAGGUGCUGCAUGGUUGUCGUCAGCUCGUGCUGUGAAGUGUCGGGUUAAGUCCCAUAACGAGCGCAACCCCUAUUUCUAGUUGCCAGCGGUUCGGCCGGGGACUCUAGAGAAACUGCCAGCGUAAGCUGUGAGGAAGGUGGGGACGACGUCAAAUCAUCACGGCCCUUACGUCCUGGGCCACACACGUGCUACAAUGGUGGGGACAACGAGUUGCCAACCCGCGAGGGUGAGCUAAUCUCUCAAACCCCAUCUCAGUUCGGAUCGGAGUCUGCAACUCGACUCCGUGAAGUUGGAAUCGCUAGUAAUCGCGCAUCAGCCAUGGCGCGGUGAAUACGUUCCCGGGCCUUGUACACACCGCCCGUCAAGCCAUGGAAUCUGGGGGCGCCUGAAGUCAGUAACCGCAAGGAGCUGCCUAGGGCGAAUCUGGUAACUAGGGCUAAGUCGUAACAAGGUAGCCGUACCGGAAGGUGCGGCUGGAUUAACUCCUUUUUAGAG
rnacentral:rRNA from 1 species